UAAGGAAUAUUGGACAAUGGAGGCAACUCUGAUCCAGCCAUGCCGCGUGAAGGAAUAAGGCCCUAUGGGUUGUAAACUUCUUUUAGACGGGACAAAACCCCUUUACGUGUAAAGGGUUGAUGGUACUGUCAGAAUAAGCAUCGGCUAACUUCGUGCCAGCAGCCGCUGUAAUACGAAGGAUGCAAGCGUUAUCCGGAAUUAUUGGGUUUAAAGGGUGCGUAGGCGGACUAAUAAGUCAGUGGUGAAAGCCUGCAGCUUAACUGCAGAAUUGCCAUUGAUACUGUUAGUCUUGAGUACAGUUGAGGUAGGCGGAAUGUGUCAUGUAGCGGUGAAAUGCUUAGAUAUGACACAGAACACCGAUUGCGAAGGCAGCUUGCUAAGCUGUAACUGACGCUGAGGCACGAAAGCGUGGGGAGCAAACA
rnacentral:rRNA from 1 species